UUUCUCCUUCGUCCCUCUCCAUCCCCUUUCCUUCUCCUGCAGCGCCAUACCACCGGCAAUUGCAAGCACGACUGCUUGGGUCCGCCGCCUCAUCCGUGCUCGACUGCAAGCACCCACGAGGCACGUGCUUUGCCUCCUCCAGAUCCACGAAGUGAGGCAGAAAGAAAUAUGACAUCGAUGAUUCAAGGUGCCUUCACAAGCAAGUGCACUACAAGACACGGGAAGAAGGUCCUCCCAUGACCUCUCGCCGCCGAGCUCGACCGCAAGGAGCUCGCGGUACACGGGGAAAUUGACCACGAAUACCUGUCUUGGUUAUCCCAUCCUCAAAUCCCCAAAUUUAUGCAGUUACCUUUUUUCUAGGAGAGAGCGAGCAGUUUAUCCCCUUCCAGACCUAAUAGACUACAAUUUCGAAUUGAUUUUGUUUUUGCACGAACUGAAACUGCAGGAUGCAUGUUCAUCUCCCCCCAACCUAUAAGGUGAAUGAUAAUAGAUGAUCCAGUACUAUCGCUCAUCUUGAUAUGCUAUUUGGUUUGGAUAACUACACUUAUGUGGAAUUCUACUUCUCUUCACGUUGUUUGCAGGCUAGAUAUUGUUACAGAUCUAACCAGGAUAACUACACUUCCAUGGAACUGUACUUCUCGCCAUGUUGUUUUCAGGCAAGACAUUGUUACAGAUCCAACAGACAUUGAAUUACCAUUUUGUUCUCCACAUGUUCCCUAUGUGCCUUAUGAUUGUACGUGGCUUUGGCAAAAUGUUGAUUUCAUAAUUAAUUUUAUUUAUGAAUGUUUACAGCACAUGUAAUUGUUUGGACCCAAGCAUCAACUGCAGAUUAGGUUGAUGCAAAUAUGAAGUAUGUUUCUCCACAUUUUUAAAAAUAGAUAUGUAAUAUGGGGAUAGCAAGAGCGAUGUCUAUUUUGUUUACAAUAUGUAUGCCACUACCAGAACCCCAUUCAUUUUCUUCCCGGCCUCCCUCAGAUCCUAUUCCUUGGGCCACCCACAUCUAUUAUUUUUCUCUUUGCUCACCAGUUAGGAAGUCUCUGCUGCUGCUAUAUCAUACUUAUGGGGGGUGAUCUGUAUGGUAAGGUCUGAGUUUCGGUUGUUUUCGGAGUGCAGCCAAAGCGUUGGAGUUUCCCAUAUUUUUGGUACAUGCGGUGGAAGUGAUCUUAGCGACUCUCAGCUCAGCAAGCAGCGUGGUUUCCGCAUGAUAGGACUGAACGUCUCUUGGCCAUUGUACGAUCUGGUAGGUCGAUGACCGAUCCUGCUUCUUCUAUCUUUCUUUCUUAGACAGAAACUGAAACAUCAACUAUUUUAGCUUUGCGUUUGUGCAUAAGUUUAUCACGGUAAAUUAGUUCUUUCAUUUUUAAUGGUUCAUAACUUUAUAUGGCUUCCUUGAUAAGGAACUAAUUUGAUCUCGCAGAAAACUGCUCUAUUGUUUGUUAUUGGGGUUAGCUGAAUGUCUAGAAGAUGCGUGAUAUGAUUACUUAAACAACCAGGUGAGUAAUGAUCUUGCGUGGUGUAAAUAUUCUUGAUGUUUCAAGCGUCGGUAUUGUCCAAUCACAUGAUGUUGAACCUAACUAUUUAUGAUUUUGCGGUUUGUGUGAAGAUAUUCUGAUUUUCAUUUUCCGUCAAUUUGUUACUGAUGUUAGUAAUACAUGUUUAUGCUUUAAUUACUAUAUUGUCAGCUGUCAUUUCUCGCCUAUUAGGACAACAUAUAUGCCUUCCAAAAGAUUAUUUUUUUAUGUGCUAAGUCUGCUGAAUAUACUACCAAGUUAGUUGAAUCUAGGCUUUUCCUUGAUAAAUAUAUGGUUGUAUCGCUUUUUCCCUUCUGUACCUAUCUCUCAAUUUGUAUUUGUUCACUUAUCUAACAUUUAUAGUUAACCAUAUAGCCUAGAUAUUUCCCACUAUUAUAGAGAAUGCUUGGAGCAAGGACGCAUGUAGACCUAUCAAGCGUGUCUUUUUUUUGCAGGAUGUACAUGUAACAUUUUAGCCUAGCAGAACCUUGAGACAAAGCUUGAAGUGAGGACACCUGUAGAUCUGUCAAGCAUAUAUUUUUUGCAAGAUGUACAUGUAGUCUUUAAGGCUAGCAGAACCUUCAUAUGUCCAAACUUUGUAUAUAGUUAUAUCUGAUGACAUAUUGAUGUGAAGAUUAAUUGCUCUCAAUUAGCUAGAUUAUGGAUGUAGUAGUUCCAUAUGUUUGUCAGACAUGAAAAACCGUCAGGAAUUGUUGUUGUAUAGUAAUAAUUAUAAUUACUGAUCAUUUAUCUCGCAUGUUUCAUGCUACCAUGUUUAGAAAAAGAAUAAGCUACAUGUAGCUAACAUACUCUAAUGUUAUUGCUUAAAAUGUUCUACAGCAACGCGCGGGGUAUCAUCUAGUUCUAUUAAAAG
rnacentral:lncRNA from 1 species